CACCAGAAACACAGUACACACCAGAGGUUGGGGAGCUGGACCAUGCGCCAGGAGGACUUACACUUCCAAAUGCCUGAGGUUCUUCGAGAAACAUCCAUCCCGCCUCAGAUGAAGGACUCAAUGCGAUUUCUGAUGAUGAGCCAAUGCCAUUAUCCUCACUCCACAGAUAAGGAAACAGAGGCAUGGAGGGUUUUACCAUCAUCUCCAUAGCUAAAGCCAGGCAAUUAAAAACACAGUGUUCAGCAAAGAAAUGUCUCCCCAGCUCUAUUUUGGAGGGAGGGGAUCAAGAAAAGAUGGGUCUGAAAUAAAGCCCAAAGUAGGGGCACUGGGGAGGCCAUGGUCUGCAAAACACACGGAGGUUGCAGCCUCCCCAGACCCCAGGAGUUUGCUGGUUCUUGCCAAGAGUUCUGCUUCUCUAACCAAAGCCACGUGCUCGCUGCUGGCCCCAGACCUCCCGGCUGCAAACCCAUCUGAACGUAGCAUUAUACAACUGCCUUGUGCCCGUUCCCGUCUUCAGAAAUCGGGACAAAAUAAACCAUUCUGCUCUGCCUGUGAGAAGGGUCAGCCUGCACCUUCCUCAGCCAUUAGAAGCUGGAGUUGCCAUUCGACUUGUCAUCAGAGCUGCUCUAAUUUGAACUAAUGAGUGGGAAACAAUUGCUGAUUACAGGGCACUGCUAGGCUCCUAUCUGCCAGCGUGCAACCACAACAAAAACACAAUCUCCCCCCACCGCCCCAAACCUCGUAGGAUAAUAUUUCAUAGCAUUGCCAAAAUGGACUUCAGCCAUUUAUUUUGACAGCUGUAGUUUUAAUUAUUUAUGAUAAGAUUGUACAGUGUGCUGGUAAAGGCUGCAAGGCAUUUCAUUAAAAAAAAAAAAGAAAAAAAGAAGUCUUGCAGUGGGCUUGUCUCAGGGCUGUAAUAUACCAGGAGGGAGAAAUGGGGAAAGGCUGUACCAAAGGACCCAGACUAGCAAUCUUCUACAGACCACAAGGAAAAGCUCUUUCCUUUUGGACACCUCAGUAGUUAUCAUAAAGCUGAGUGUGUGGACAGUUCAAAACUUUUGAGGCAGGACGCAAAUUUACUCUUUUAUAAGAGCACAGACUUGUUGCAGGAGGGCGGGGACCUGUCAGCAGGAAAAUCAGUGUGCUCCAUCCCUCUGCAGUCAGUCCCACCCCACCCACUGGGCAGAAGAGCAUUCCCACCCUGCAGAGAACUCCAGAGUCUCAGUAUUCACUUUCUUGGGAAAUGAAGACAAAAGCCCCAAUUUUGACUGAAGAGAAAGCUACACAAAUGCGCACGCACAGGGAUUUAGAAAGACAAAAAAGCUUUUGGCCUUUCUGACUUCAUCCAUGUUGCUGAAAUGCCCUGCUGGCAUCACAGUUUGGCUAUAACGUGCCCUGGUGCUCCUCUGCUAGCCGCAACGCUUCGCUGCGGGGCUGCGGGGUCCACGAGACACCUCGUGGGUUAGAUAAACAUGCCUGAAAUUUGCAGGUUGGAUCAUUUUGACGUGACUUGGUUUUUCUCAGUCAAGAACAUCUGUAAAAAUCAUGUUGUUCCCAUGGAAAACUUUAAGCAUACAGAAUUGAAAAUUUCAUCAGAAGUGUAUUUAAUGGGAACGGCUUUUUUUCCUGGUGGUACUAGGCAGGCCUUAAAACGUGUGAACUUAAGGAGGUAAUUUAGCAUCUCUGCUGCAGCUCUUUAUUUUCUAAAGGAGAGAAACAGUAGCCCACCUUGUUAAAGCUCUUGGAGAUAGAUUGCUGGAGAACAUUAAAUAAAAGCUCACUGUUACCAUUAUAUGAGGGAGCAUUUGAGGUCUUGCCAUUCUCUUGUGAGGUUGCAUUUGCACCAUAACUGGUGCGUGAUUAAUCUGUGCCCAUCGCAAAGGUUGUCCCAGAACUACUGCAAUCAUUACUUUAGUACUAGUCUGAGGGGACCCAUCACUUCAGAGAUCAUUUUAAAGAGGAACAUGAAAUGAGCUGAGACUUAACACCUGCACAUCAAGAGAAGGUAGAUGUAAAAAAUAAAUCGGUAUCUCAGGCAGGGGGUCAGGCUAAUUACUUGUGGUUUCUGUUUGCUCGGGUGUGUUUCUAACACAGCAACUGGACUAGAUUUUGCCCUCGUUAAAAAUAAAAGCAAGUUAGUAUGCCUGAAUCUUUCAGACAGGAUUCAGGAGAGAUCCCUGCUCUGACAAGUGCCUUCUGCCAUGAUUUUCCUCGCAUGAGAUACCCUUUUGGAGCGAGAAACAGCUGUGCCAUACCCAUGCCGAAGGACAGCGGCUACGCUCAGCUCCGAGCUGACCAGACUUCAAUAGCUGGCUGAGCCAGCCCUGAACAGUGGGUGCCCAUCUCUGCUGACCUCCAUCUUCUGUGGUCAUUUACAGCAUUUUAAAGUCCCACCAGGUCAUUUCCAUGGUUGUA